rnacentral:rRNA from 1 species
GGGACCGCACAAGCAGCGGAGCAUGUGGUUUAAUUCGAAGCAACGCGAAGAACCUUACCAGGGCUUGACAUCCCUCUGACAGUCCCUUAACCGGGACCUUCUUCGGACAGAGAAGACAGGUGGUGCAUGGUUGUCGUCAGCUCGUGUCGUGAGAUGUUGGGUUAAGUCCCGCAACGAGCGCAACCCCUGUGGUUAGUUGCCAGCAAGUAGCGUUGGGCACUCUAGCCAGACUGCCGGUGAUAAAUCGGAGGAAGGUGGGGACGACGUCAAAUCAUCAUGCCCUUUAUGUCCUGGGCUACACACGUACUACAAUGGCCGUUACAACGGGAAGCGAAGGAGCAAUCCGGAGCAAAUCCCUUAAAGGCGGUCCCAGUUCAGAUUGUGGGCUGAAACUCGCCCACAUGAAGGCGGAAUUGCUAGUAAUUGCAGAUCAGCAUGCUGCAGUGAAUACGUUCCCGGGCCUU